GGUUAACGCUGGCGGCGUGCGUAACACAUGCAAGUCGAACGGGCCAUUACUCUUCGGAGUGAUGGUUAGUGGCGAACGGGUGAGUAAAAGGUAGGGACCUACUCUGAGGACAGAGAUAGCUACUGGAAACGGUAGGUAAACUCUGAUAAGCCCGAGAGGGGAAAGUGGAAAGCAGCCUUGGGAUGGACCUACUAUCCAUCAGGUAGUUGGUGAGGUAAAGGCUCACCAAGCCGGUGACGGAUAACCGGUGUGAGAGCAUGGACGGUCACAAGGGCACUGAGACACGGGCCCUACUCCUACGGGAGGCAGCAGUGGGGAAUAUUGGACAAUGGGCGAAAGCCUGAUCCAGCGACGCCGCGUGAAGGAAGGAGUCCUUCGGGAUGUAAACUUCUGAACUAAUCGAAUAAAAGGGUAGUGGACACACUACAGAAGAAGGUAGAUUGGGAAAAGUCCCGGCUAACUACGUG
rnacentral:rRNA from 1 species